rnacentral:rRNA from 1 species
UACAGAGGGGGCGAGCGUUGUUCGGAAUUACUGGGCGUAAAGGGCGCGUAGGCGGCCUCUUAAGUCGAACGUGAAAUCCCCGGGCUCAACCCGGGAACUGCGUCCGAUACUGGGGGGCUUGAAUCCGGGAGAGGGAUGUGGAAUUCCAGGUGUAGCGGUGAAAUGCGUAGAUAUCUGGAGGAACACCGGUGGCGAAGGCGGCAUCCUGGACCGGUAUUGACGCUGAGGCGCGAAAGCCCAGGGGAGCAAACGGG